rnacentral:snRNA from 13 species
UAUCGGUCGGUAAAGUGUUAAAAUUAGAACGAUGCAGUGAAGUGUAGCGUGGCCCCUGUACAAAGAUGACCGCAAAAUCGUGAAGCAUUCCAUUGAAAU